rnacentral:snRNA from 1 species
AGUUUUGCUCAGUGGCAGUUUUGUAGCCAAUGAAGUUUAUUCAAGGUGGGAUUAUAGCUAA